ACGAACCUACGAAAACAAUCCUCCCGAUGGUUUUCUUGAAUAUCCAAGAGGUCUUCAUCCUCCUCCCGAGGAUCUCUUAUUUUAGGCGACGGCAUCUCCUCCUCCCUGAUGUCGUCGCCAUUU
rnacentral:sRNA from 1 species